ACAGGAUGAAAAUCACACUUGGCGUGAUCAGUCGCCCUUGGUGAGAUAACUGUGCCAAUAUUGACCCGGAGUGUUAAGCUUAUUACCCGCAAUAAACAUGCGAACGUAAUGAAACCCACGCUCCUACACUG
rnacentral:snoRNA from 1 species